rnacentral:rRNA from 1 species
GUAGCUAGGAUGGAAGUGGAAGUGCCGUGAGACAUGGUGCGGACCAUUACUAAUCUGUCGAGGACUUAACUAAG